rnacentral:rRNA from 1 species
GCCCAGACAGCCAGGAUGUUGGCUUAGAAGCAGCCAUCAUUUAAAGAAAGCGUAAUAGCUCACUGGUCGAGUCGGCCUGCGCGGAAGAUGUAACGGGGCUAAACCAUGCACCGAAGCUGCGGCAGCGACACUGUGUGUUGUUGGGUAGGGGAGCGUUCUGUAAGCCUGUGAAGGUGUGUCGUGAGGCAUGCUGGAGGUAUCAGAAGUGCGAAUGCUGACAUAAGUAACGAUAAAGCGGGUGAAAAGCCCGCUCGCCGGAAGACCAAGGGUUCCUGUCCAACGUUAAUCGGGGCAGGGUGAGUCGACCCCUAAGGCGAGGCCGAAAGGCGUAGUCGAUGGGAAACGGGUUAAUAUUCCCGUACUUGGUGUUACUGCGAAGGGGGGACGGAGAAGGCUAUGUUGGCCGGGCGACGGUUGUCCCGGUUUAAGCGUGUAGGUGUGUGUUCCAGGUAAAUCCGGUUCACUUUAACACUGAGGCGUGACGACGAGGCACUACGGUGCUGAAGCAACAAAUGCCCUGCUUCCAGGAAAAGCCUCUAAGCAUCAGGUAACAUCAAAUCGUACCCCAAACCGACACAGGUGGUCAGGUAGAGAAUACCAAGGCGCUUGAGAGAACUCGGGUGAAGGAACUAGGCAAAAUGGUGCCGUAACUUCGGGAGAAGGCACGCUGACACGUAGGUGAAGUGAUUUACUCAUGGAGCUGAAGUCAGUCGAAGAUACCAGCUGGCUGCAACUGUUUAUUAAAAACACAGCACUGUGCAAACACGAAAGUGGACGUAUACGGUGUGACGCCUGCCCGGUGCCGGAAGGUUAAUUGAUGGGGUCAGCGCAAGCGAAGCUCCUGAUCGAAGCCCCGGUAAACGGCGGCCGUAACUAUAACGGUCCUAAGGUAGCGAAAUUCCUUGUCGGGUAAGUUCCGACCUGCACGAAUGGCGUAAUGAUGGCCAGGCUGUCUCCACCCGAGACUCAGUGAAAUUGAACUCGCUGUGAAGAUGCAGUGUACCCGCGGCAAGACGGAAAGACCCCGUGAACCUUUACUAUAGCUUGACACUGAACAUUGAGCCUUGAUGUGUAGGAUAGGUGGGAGGCUUUGAAGUGUGGACGCCAGUCUGCAUGGAGCCGACCUUGAAAUACCACCCUUUAAUGUUUGAUGUUCUAACGUGGACCCGUUACCCGGGUUGCGGACAGUGUCUGGUGGGUAGUUUGACUGGGGCGGUCUCCUCCUAAAGAGUAACGGAGGAGCACGAAGGUUGGCUAAUCCUGGUCGG